rnacentral:lncRNA from 1 species
UGGGCCCACGGGCUGACAGAGGGAUGGUGUGCUGCACAGAGGAGGACCUGCGAUGGGGAUUCAAGAAGGGAGCUCGGGGGCCACUGCUUAGUGGAGGCCAGAGGGCCGUGUGCUGCAGUAUGGCCGUGACUGGGGCUGGGUUCUCCCUCUACCCACGUGUCCCUUACCUGAGAGCACGCUCUGGAUGCGGUCAUAAUGCAGGAAGUUGUAUGUGCUGCCUGUGAGGCUAGCCUCGUCUCUGGGCAGCGUCUCCUUCAGGUGGACUUCCAGCCCGUUCAGCGACGCCAGGCUGCUGUGGUACUGCAGAGGGGCCAGGAGUGGGUCACAGGCUGGCACACUUAGUUGAAAGGACUUCCCUACAUGGAGAUGACUGGCUUGGAACUCACUACGAAGACCAGGCCAGCCUAACUGUGCAAAGCCUUCUGCCUCUGCCUCCUGACUGCUUGGAUUACAGGUGUGCACCACCCCACCCCAGCCCCUCUCUUCAUGUGUUAUGUGGUGUACAUCCAGCUCAGUGGAGGACAUCAGACCCCUUGUCAGAACCCCUGCUGUUACAGGCAGCUGUGAGCUGUCCAUUGCACUCAGGGCCUGGAAACACCAGCGAGCGCUAUGAACCCCUGAGUCAUCUCUCCAACUCUGGGACUGUCUGCUUUAGCAAUAAUGGUGGCCUGGUGUUCCAGUGCUCCCCAACACCAGCA